GGAUUAGUACGCCGGUCAUGCCUUCGGUAUGUACUGGUGUUACUGAUUCCUACCUUCUGAAGAACCGUUAUGUCAUUUAUUUGGUGUGGCGGGGAAUCAGGACUGUUACUUUGAAAAAAUUAGAGUGUUUAAAGCAGGCUCGCGCUUGAAUACAUUAGCAUGGAAUAAUGAAAUAGGACGUUUGAUCCUAUUUUGUUGGUUUCUAGGAUUGACGUAAUGA
rnacentral:rRNA from 1 species